rnacentral:rRNA from 1 species
AUUGAACGCUGGCGGCAGGCUUAACACAUGCAAGUCGAACGGUAGCAGGAAAGUACUUGUACUUUUGCUGACGAGUGGCGGACGGGUGAGUAAUGCUUGGGAAUCUGGCUUAUGGAGGGGGAUAACUACUGGAAACGGUAGCUAAUACCGCGUAAUAUCGGAAGAUUAAAGGGUGGGACCAUUUGGCCACCUGCCAUAAGAUGAGCCCAAGUGGGAUUAGGUAGUUGGUGGGGUAAGGGCCUACCAAGCCUUCGAUCUCUAGCUGGUCUGAGAGGAUGACCAGCCACACUGGAACUGAGACACGGUCCAGACUCCUACGGGAGGCAGCAGUGGGGAAUAUUGCACAAUGGGGGGAACCCUGAUGCAGCCAUGCCGCGUGAAUGAAGAAGGCCUUCGGGUUGUAAAGUUCUUUCGGUGAUGAGGAAGGUGUUUUGUUUAAUAGACAAAGCAAUUGACGUUAGUCACAGAAGAAGCACCGGCUAACUCCGUGCCAGCAGCCGCGGUAAUACGGAGGGUGCGAGCGUUAAUCGGAAUAACUGGGCGUAAAGGGCACGCAGGCGGAUUUUUAAGUGAGAUGUGAAAGCCCCGAGCUUAACUUGGGAAUUGCAUUUCAGACUGGAAGUCUAGAGUAUUUUAGGGAGGGGUAGAAUUCCACGUGUAGCGGUGAAAUGCGUAGAGAUGUGGAGGAAUACCGAAGGCGAAGGCAGCCCCUUGGGAAUGUACUGACGCUCAUGUGCGAAAGCGUGGGGAGCAAACAGGAUUAGAUACCCUGGUAGUCCACGCUGUAAACGCUGUCGAUUUGGGGAUUGGGCUUUAAGCUUGGUGCCCGUAGCUAACGUGAUAAAUCGACCGCCUGGGGAGUACGGCCGCAAGGUUAAAACUCAAAUGAAUUGACGGGGGCCCGCACAAGCGGUGGAGCAUGUGGUUUAAUUCGAUGCAACGCGAAGAACCUUACCUACUCUUGACAUCCUCAGAAUCCGAUAGAGAUAUUGGAGUGCCUUUGGGAACUGAGAGACAGGUGCUGCAUGGCUGUCGUCAGCUCGUGUUGUGAAAUGUUGGGUUAAGUCCCGCAACGAGCGC